AAGGAGGCUACUGAUUCUGGCCCUGUGACACUUGGUGGUGACGUGUGAGCUGAUUCACCUGGACACUCAGCAAAAUAUGGACUCUACACCAUGAGGCAGGCACACGUUAAUACUCUAUAAGAGCACAUAAGGUGAGCAACACCACAGAUUAUUAUUACUGUACACUGUCCUGGAUUUGUUUUCUUUCUGCAUCUCAUCAUUAGCCUGGCUGAUCACCUGAUAACUCCUGUCAUCUGGUUAUGACAGCAUGAGGAUGUCCUCACACACCUGUAACCUAUCAGCUCAUCUGGCAGAAUAGAGAGAGAAGAGACAACACCACAUCUCCUGUUCCUGGAAAGCCUUCAGCCAUCCUUCGAUGACUGAGAACCUCCAUCAGCUCUGUCUCCUGUCUGCCUACAGUUAUUAUAAUAAAUAUUGUGUUUGACAAGU